ensembl:lncRNA
CUAAUUAGUAAUCCUCUUUCACUCUAAAAAAUGUCCUCAAAUGUACAAUAUAUUGUAUUUUCUUUUUCCCCAAUCCAUGCACUGUAUUUUGAAAAAUACCACCGUAACAGUUUACUCUUACCAAUUCCUUUAUUUUGCUUCAAGGGUGUUUCCCGCAAAUGGGAGGGUUUCCAAAUAACCUAUUUUUCUAUCACAAGAAUUUAAGUAAUCAUCUUUGUGCACUACCAGCAACUUGCAAAGAUCUUUGCAGCUAUUGUAUUGAAUUUCAGAAACCGAGAGAAAAGAUGAAGUCUUUAAGUGGGACAGUUGAGAAUACAGUUCAGAAAACACCACACAGCCGAGGAUUUAGCUCAGUGGCACCGUGUCUGCCUUGCAAGCGCAAAGUCCUGAGUUCGAUCCCUGAUACCCGGGUGGGGGGGGGGGGGAGACCACACAAGUGCGGUGUGAAUCACAACUACCAUUUUAUUUUUCUGAUUAUUGGGAUACAGAAUUGUCCAUGUGCUCCAGGACUAGUUUGCUAUGAUGGAUACCAGAUUGCUCUGUGACUUAUGGGGAAUGUUAUCUGGGCCACACACUUCUCUGGUCAUGUUUUCCCAACAAUCACAAAACACUUUCUCCACGAACAUGGAAUGACAAAGCACCCCACCCAAAAUAAUUUUUAACUCAUUAUGGUGUGUACCAGCGAGGCCACAGAACAGCACAAAGCAGGGGGUGGGGGCUGGGCUUUACAAACCACAAGGUUGCUCCAGAAAACUAGACACACGUGUACAUUUAUCACUGUAACUAAGGUGAAAGAGGUACAGAGCAAACCAGGUCAAUUUGGACUCAUGGGUACAAAUACUGUAAAGAACAUUUAUUUCAUGUGUAAGUUAAAAUUUUUCUCUUAUCAAAUCAGCAAUCAUUCCCAGUUCAGAUACUACUUUGAUAAGUGAGUUAGGAAGAAAAACUGGUAGAGCAAGAAACCUUGCACUUAACUGCAGCAUCAGCUAUGUUCACAAAGGUGUAUUUCAUUCCGAGAUGGCUUCCUACUCAGUUCAAGCGUGUCUUAGGCAUUCACAAGUUGUGUUAUAGAUCUGAGCAAUGUUUAAAGUUUAAGCACUUGAAUACUCUUGUGAGGUUGUAAACUUAAGAGCAGCAGAUGAUGUGUAUAUAACCCUUAAGAAGCAAGUACGACUUCAAGUGAUUUGAACACCAAGGAACUCUGGAGAGACAGGGUUAGCCAGAAUGCUAAAGCUAAAACUGUGGCAUGUUGCCCAGAUCUGACUCAAACACAAUUGCACUUUCUAAUCAGAGGGUAGCAUUCAGGUCUAGCACUGUGCAGCAUGAGAAAAGGAGGCUGUAACAAUGAAAAGACUGGAAACGAAGGAAGCAAGAGAACUCGAUUCCUCCAACAUUGAAUAAAGGCCACUGCAAUUUUUAAAUCCCUCGGUGCUCUAUGUUUUCUAGGUAAACUUUGCCAUGGGUGUCCACUCAUCAGUCAAGAUACUUUAGUUUAGUCUAAAAAUAUUAAGUAUAUGCACCAUUUAUUGGUCAAAAUAACUUGUCAGCUCUUACAUAGACUUUUCAAAGUGCAAAGCAGGCUACAAAAAGACAUUAUGUGACUUAUUUCCCAAGAACAGUUACACAGGCAUCCAGGGGAAAAGGUAGCGAUAUAGGACUAUGUUGAGCUCUUUCUAUUUAAUUUUUGUGUUAGUUACAACAGCCAGAAAAAUCCUGCCUCCUGAGAGGACUUGCUUGGCAAGAGGCAGGUGAAACCCAAAAGAAUCAGCCUGGUCCUUCUUCAAUGGCAGGCAGCCUCAAGUUUUUUCCGGUCUCUAUAGUUAUAGGCUUUAGCUUUAAUUCUAAUUAAAGUCAGAUAAAGGCACAAGCCAGUUCUUACUGUGAAUAUAUAGUGCCUUUCAAAACAUACAUUGAGGUUUCUGACAGUUGUAGCAGUUCAAAUGAUAAAAGGAAAAUAGAAUUUUUAAGAAAGGGAUGCCAUGAUUUAAACAAUAUAACAUUUUAUACUCAUUCUACCUGAUUUCACACACUACUUUUGUGACAAGUCAUUUAGCAUGGCUUACAAUCAGAUUUAACUUUCUUAACUUCUUUGUUAAUGUCUAGUGUAUGUGAACAACCAAGAGUUAGCAGUGAAUGCUAAGAUUCUUUUUUCGCUCAAAAAGAAUCUCAAGUAAGAAUACUUUAAAUUAGGUAGUUCUGUUGUUCAUAUACAUCCCGUUCUAAGUGUGCCAUUUUCAAUCAAUUUGGAAGGCAAAGAUGAAUCAGAGAGUAGUUACACCAGUCGUACAUGCCACUUAGACAUUUCCUCACUCUGGUAACCAGGGGGCAAAUACUGUUUCAUACAUAUAUGAUCUUUCACAUUUCUGCAGCGUUGGCCCAUUUUUAAAAGUUAUCCAGAGUAUUUAAGCUAACAAGUCAAUUUUAGGUUAAUGGAAGUUAGAAUUACUUAAUGCAAUGUUCUUUUAAGUGAAAGUUUAUUAUCCCAAAAGGAGUCAGUUUCAGUAGAAAACAGAAUCUUCACUGAAAAGCCAAGAAGUACGUACAUUAUCAGACAAAGUAAAACUGCAGGGGAGAAGUGUGAUUCCUCCUCGACAAAGGACAUUUGGGUGUGAUUCCUCACGAAAAGGGCAAGUUCAGGUUUCCUGGGUAAUCUCACCUUCCUAAAGUGACAAUACUUUUGACAUUCUAGCUUAAAUUUAGACAAGAACUAUUAAAUCUGAACAUACAGUGGUAUAGUCCAAGAUUCCUAUGGGAUUCUUAUCGAAGGCUAUUCCCUGAGACAGGAAAGGGUAGUGAAUGUUUAAUUCUCGGAGUACAAAAAGGUAUACAUAUAAAAUCACUUUCAUCUCUUCACUCCUCCCUUUCAAGAAAUUACUAAAAUAAAAACAUUUAUCACCAUGUUUUAGCUUUCUAAAAAUGCUUCCCUUUAAAUGAACAUUAUUGCAAAGCCACAUACAGGCUGGGUAAUUUCACAUAAACUCUCUCCCCUGAUACUUCUUUUAAAACCAUCAGUGGUAUGGAAACAAAGAUACCUUUCUUACAAUGUACACAUUUAGUGAAAUCCUAAAAUAGUUAGAAUGCAACUGUAAUUCUUCAUUUUUGGAAACUAUAAUAAGAAAAAGUUAAGAAAACUUAACAGAAUCUUAGUAUGAUUAGAACUUUUAAAGAAUACAAGUUUAAUUCUGUACUUUUGGAAAAUAUAAUGUGAAAAACAAAUCCAAAAUACCUCUCUAUGUAAAUUAAAGCUCAAGCCAUGGUAUUCAAAAUUAAAAUAAUUUACAUAAUCUACUAUACUUUGUGUUUUUUAGUAAUUAACCUUCCUGAGACUGAUUUUGUUCUCCUUAGAGUUUUCUUAACUAAAGUGCUUAAUAAAAUUUCUACAGAAUAUAUUACCCUCUCCAUAGAUGAAUAUUAUUUUGAACUACAAUCUGACAAAAAUCUAGCUACAUUUAAUUAUGCUUGAUUAAUCCAAAUGUCACUGAGAGAUUUAUAGAACAGAAAAGUAUUUUUCAGGUUAAGUUCAUACUCUUCAUUGUGAGCUUCCCGGAUCCAGUAUUACAACAGGUUUACUGUCUCAAUUCUCUAACAUUAAGAAAAGCCCCACAAAAAUGUUUCCACUAGUCCAAAAUGGACCAAGAGACUCCUAACAUGAAGCUCUUUUUCUUAUCAUUGUCAAGAGACUUGCAGACAGACCCGUUAAAGGCUUGGAAUUGCGAGGUGCUGCAGCUUGGGUGGAACUUUUGGGUGAAGAGAUGUACACACAGGGUGUCUUGUGGAUUUAAUUAAAACAGUGAAAGAAUAUUAGCGUGAGGUAAGAGGGGGCUUUCUUUUAACACAGGCACAUAACUGUAAUAGACAGUUGUUCAGAGACCGUCAGUAAUGACGCCCCAAGGUACUUUUGUUCAUAUGCAAAUAAGUCAGUUUAAAGGGUGACAAAUUGCCCUACCUAUGGGAAUAAUUAAACAUAUCCCAUCUCCUUCUCCAGUCAGCUAAACCUCCCACUGCUGCAGCACUCUAACCCCAGAGGUGUCCAAACAGGCGAGUGUGGAGAACUCCAAGUCUCUGAUAUACCCUCUAAGGGAAAGUGGUACCACUAACACCCAGAGUGGCACAGAGCCGCAUGUGGUACACAUGAAGUGACAGCCUGCAUCCAGGCCCAUCGAAGUCCCACGGACAUGGGGGGAAUUCAUGGCCCUAUUUUAGAGACAGAUGGAGAGCUGGAGAGGUUUCUCAAGAACUCUGUGACUAAAAUACUUUAUGUCCCUUUUGGUCUCCAUUUCGGGGGCAUACACAGCUGGUGCCAACCUGCAAACUGAGAGGAAAGUCUUCUCAGACAAUCCUUUUCCUCCACCUCUAAAAUGAGUUUGAAGUGUUAAAUAGGGUCUCUUCUGAAAAGCAGCCAUUUUAACUCCAGCAGCAUCAUCCAGAUGCUUGAAAUUUUUAUUUAAAUAAUGAUUUCCUAAAGCCCAAGAAGACAUAUCCAGAAGUUGCAGUAAUUUGUGUUUUUGCUGUGAGGAAAGAACAGCCCAUGUUAUUCGAUGAAAUUUGAUUGGAAAAGUUGGUCCCUCUUAUUUGACCACUGCUCCUGCUGGUCAGCAAGACAACUGAAAUGGGCUUGUCCCCCAUUUCCCUGAAGCCCCAGUGCAGGGACCUCGACAAGGUCCCCUACUGAACUGAUCACAGAGUCCAAAUUCAGAUAAAUAGAUACAGAGGAGAAAAGAAGUUGAAAAUCACUGGCCCUUCCUCCUCUGAGGAACACACCUGCAAUGAAAACAAUACUUAGCAGCUCUGGUGCUGCCCCCAUCUCAUUUUUCUCCAUUGCACUCGUCUCCCAAGCAAACUAUAAAAUUACCUGAUUUUGUUUCUAGUCUGUCUUCCCUACUAGACUGUGAGCUCAGGAAGCAGGGAUUUCGCUCUGCUUUGAUCACUGCUGUGUGCCCAGCAUGUAGCAAGUUUCUAGCAUGCAGGAGACACUGGAUAUUAUCUACAUGGAAGACUGAACAUCACUUUCCUUCCCAUGACUCCUCUACCUGCCACCAUCACUUCAUGGUCUCCCAUACACAAGGGUGCCUGUGUUCAAUUCUCCACUUGACAUCAGCACAGACUGGGGCCAAGUCUGACCAUAGGGGAAGGUCUUGCUUCAAGUAGAGUUGGGUGCACACAGCAAGCCAGUCACUUGGCUCGUGAUUGUUAUGCAGGAGCACUAACGGUGACAAGAGUUUGCUGCUGGUUGUCUAGUGGAAUGUACUGGCCACUGAGGCAGGAAGGGAGGCUUCAGUCCCACAGAUAAGCCAAAUAAAACCCCCAUCUUGUGAUCUACCUCAAAGGCACUUUAAAACAUUAACCCACAUGCUUCCAUGGUAGGCCCCAGAUCUACAGACCAUGUGAGUGGGUAUUCAUAUAUAACAAAACGAAUUCUGAUGAAGACUUAACAUCUUUCUAUUUCUUAAUAAACCAAGUUUAGCCGGGGAUUUAGCUCAGGGGUGCCGUGCCUGCCUCACAAGCACAAGGUCCUGAGUUUGAUCCCUGGUACCAAACAAACAAACAAACAAAACGUAUUUUAAAAUGGGUUGUUUGAAAAGGCAGGUAAGAAAACCUGUGGCCCAGUAAAACUCUCAGAGGGGGAAACCCACUUGAGUGAGACAGCUUGACUGCAAUCUGCUCAUCAAAAGAGCUUAAACUUCUCUGAUAACUCUGAUUAUUAGUUUGAAAUAUUUUUCCAUAUUUAACUAAUUAACCAUUGUCAAUAGCCAAUAACUUCUUGAGUUCAUGAAAAUGUCACAUGUCCCCUGUUUUUAAACCAGAAGGUACUGAUAUCUCUAAUGGGUAGAACAGGAACCUGAGUUAAAAGUUAUCUUUCCACACAGAACAGUAAACAAAAAUCCUGUAUUGAUUAAAUUGUUAAUGGUGCUUUCCUGCUGGCAAUAUUGGUUCCUUCUGUUUACUAACAUAUAGAUUAUGAAGGACAUUAUCUUCAAAGUCAAUGUUUAAGCACCUGGACCACUGGGAAAGAUGGCAGAGUAAGUGCCUGUUUAUAUAAGUCCUCCUGCCCUCCAACACACACAUCCCAAAAUUGAGCCAGAAGCUGUCUAUAGUGAAACUAAUAAAAGCCACAACCCAUACCACGAGCUCCAGGGGAGUGUCUGACGAUAAAGCAAAAGAGACACAUUAAUACACUCUAGAAAAAGAAUGAAUUCAGAAACUAUGAAAAAUAUAGACAAAAUGCUUUGGCCCUCAAAGAAAUGAAAUAAGGAAUCAAAGAGGAUGACAGGGGGCCGGGGAUUUAGCUUAGUGGUUUCGCUGCCUGCUGUGCAAGCGCUAGGACCCGAGUUCGAUCCCCAGUACCAAAAAAAAAGAGGAUGACAGAAUGACCUACGGGAAAAAACAGUUUAAAAAAACUAACAAGUGAAAGCCGUAUUACAAGCAACAGGGCCUAGUCUCUCAACAGUAUAGAAACCUAAGUCUGAAACGGAGGAUAAGUCUUGACGAAAAAUCACCCGGCAUGAAGGAAGACAAGGAGAUGAAAGCCACCCAAAGACAAACGUGAAGGGCAGAUGACAGAGAGCCAAUGGAAUGACAAAUUCUUUAAAAAGAGAACAGAACAGAUACAAAAUGCAAUAAGGCCUAAAAUAUCAGCAUCUAAUUGCUCGUUGUAUACCAGAAAAAGUCAACAGACAACUGUCAAUCCUGAGAUAAACUCAAAUGACGUUACCGAAUUUCAAGAAUAAACAAAGAAUCACAGGUAUCCAUGGCAAGCAAGCAGGUUAUCUACAAAAUGGGGAGAGAAGUCCAUCUGGACUCAGACUUCUCAUCACCACCAGAUAUGGACAACAAUAAAGUAACAUCCUGAGAGAACUGAAGGGAAAAGGAGGUGCUCCAAGAAUCCAAUAGCCAGCCAACACAUACAUCAUAAGUAAUGGCAAUAGAGAGACAUGUGUAAAUAUGAAAGGGAGUCUAACCGACCCUAUAAUCCAGUCCACCAAAACAUAAAAGCAUCAACUCUUGAAUGUGGAGUCUUUGUAUGAACGGGCUGGCAGUGAGCACUGAUUUCAUUCAAACAUGGUAUUAAGUCUAACCAACUCUAGUAAUUACCUACAGCUAUACACUUUAAGUUGCCUGCCUUUUUAGGUAAAAGCUGCCACAUUCAUUUGACUUUCUCCACUGAUUAACUAUACCGAAAUGGAAACACACAAAAGAAAACCUCUCCUGAGUGGAAUUACCUUGCAUUACAGAAAAUUUUUGGUUUAAAGCUUACCCCUGAGGAUUAAUAUAUCCAAGAAAUUCCUCAAAAGGAAUAACGCUAAUUGCCUGGUAUAUUAUUCAGAGCACUAACCUAGAGAACAGGAAGAUCCAACUACUCGCUUUGGUUCUUCUAUUCACUUAGCAGGCCACCUUGGCAAACCACUUAACUGCUCUGGGAUUCAUGUGAAAGUCGAGAAGUUCCUGUGUGGUCCACCUGCCUCAUGGCAUUGUAAAGGAUCAGAUGGUAUGCUGAGCGUAAAAGUUCUUUGGAAUCUAUAAGCAAGGCUGUAAAACUAUGUCACUGGAUGGAAAGAAGCCCUGUAUUAUGGAGCCAAAAUCAGAUAUUCAGAGAUAAAAAAGGCAUCAGAUGGUUCCUGCGGAUCUUUCUCUAUACUUUAAAGCCAUUUCGUAGCACUAUUUUAAAAAAAGAAAUUUAGUGCUUCCAAAGCCCCCGACCUGAAUUAUUACUGUUUUGGAGAUAGCUUAAGAACUUAGAUGUUGUCCCACUACCCAAGGUAAAUGUCUGUCAGUUUCCAGUCUUUGAUUCAGCAUUUAUUAAGUAUCUAUUAUUUGUCAGGCACUAUUUCAAGUAGUAGACAUGGCCCCCAAAUGAUGUAAAGGAGAGGGCAUUAUAGAGGAAUGGGGAAGAAUUUGGCUGAAAAGGGGCCAAUGUUUGUUUAUACUACCAUUUAUAUGUAGAAAUCUGACCACUGGCUUACCGGCAAAGCCAGCAAACAAUUAAGAGAUGUGCUUAAGCUCAGAGGAUCAUAUACAGCCAAGAGAAAGGGUACACGAUAAAGGAUAAAGGGGCUGACAAACUGAGAAGGCAGGAUGAUCCUCAAACUGUUUUUGAGAAUGAAAUGAAGGAUAAAACUUGAGAAAAAAUUCUUAAUGAAGAAAAAAGACAGGAGACAGAAGCCAGGUUGUACUGGGGUCAGGUGCAUAUGAGUAAGCUCUAAAGCAGUGAUGGCGAACCUAUGGCACGCGUGCCACGGCCAGCUGUUUGUUAUCACUGAAAGCUCCAAAAUGUUUAUCAUCACUGCUCUGAAGUACAUUGAGUCAUUGAAACACUGAAAUAAGAUUUUGCUUUUGAAAAAUACUUGUCAAGAAUGCGACAGGAUUUUUCUACACCAUAUUUUCCAUAUUCGACCCUUCUAAGGUGCUUGUUUGAGGGCUUGGCAGCACUGGGGCACAAGGCAGUAGUAACAUGACCCAAAUCUGCUGCCUCCUUUCCCCUAGAGCAGAUCCCACUUAAAAGUAUAAAAGAGGACAGUUGGGAGCUGGGGCCUAGUAAGGUAGGAAUACUACCUAAUGUUUAUAUGGAAGCUAGGGCCUUUAAAUGUAAAGGACCAUUCAUUUUACAUCUUUUAUUUUCUGCAGUGCUGGGGAUUGAACCCCGAGUUUUGUGCCUGCUAGGCAAGCUCUCUACCACUGAG